GACGAACGCUGGCGGCGUGCCUAAUACAUGCAAGUUGAGCGCUGAAGGUUGGUACUUGUACCAACUGGAUGAGCAGCGCACGGGUGAGUAACGCGUGGGGAAUCUGCCUUUGAGCGGGGGACAACAUUUGGAAACGAAUGCUAAUACCGCAUAAAAACUUUAAACACAAGUUUUAAGUUUGAAAGAUGCAAUUGCAUCACUCAAAGAUGAUCCCGCGUUGUAUUAGCUAGUUGGUGAGGUAAAGACUCACCAAGGCGAUGAUACAUAGCCGACCUGAGAGGGUGAUCGGCCGCAUUGGGACUGAGACACGGCCCAAACUCCUACGGGAGGCAGCAGUAGGGAAUCUUCGGCAAUGGACGAGAGUCUGACCGAGCAACGCCGCGGGAGUGAAGAAGGUUUUCGGAUCGUAAAACUCUGUUGGUAGAGAAGAACGUUGGUGAGAGUGGAAAGCUCAUCAAGUGACGGUAACUACCCAGAAAGGGACGGCUAACUACGUG
rnacentral:rRNA from 1 species